rnacentral:ncRNA from 1 species
AUAAUGAUACUUGCGUCCAGUCUACAGGUCGAGCGUUGAAGCGGAGAGAUCCGUGAGCCGUCGCAACCAAAGAGGGCGCCUCGGCGAGAACCGCGGAGAGGUGAGAUUCCUAUGA